AUACGGAGGGUGCAAGCGUUAUCUGGAAUCAUUGGGUUUAAAGGGUCCGUAGGCGGACUAUUAAGUCAGAGGUGAAAUCCCACAGCUCAACUGUGGAACUGCCUUUGAUACUGGUAGUCUUGAGUUAUAUGGAAGUAGAUAGAAUGUGUAGUGUAGCGGUGAAAUGCAUAGAUAUUACACAGAAUACCGAUUGCGAAGGCAGUCUACUACGUAUAUACUGACGCUAAGGGACGAAAGCGUGGGGAGCGAACAGGAUUAGAUACCCCAGUAGUCC
rnacentral:rRNA from 1 species